rnacentral:rRNA from 1 species
UGGGGAAUAUUGGACAAUGGGCGAAAGCCUGAUCCAGCCAUGCCGCGUGUGUGAAGAAGGUCUUCGGAUUGUAAAGCACUUUAAGUUGGGAGGAAGGGUUGUAGAUUAAUACUCUGCAAUUUUGACGUUACCGACAGAAUAAGCACCGGCUAACUCUGUGCCAGCAGCCGCGGUAAUACAGAGGGUGCAAGCGUUAAUCGGAAUUACUGGGCGUAAAGCGCGCGUAGGUGGUUAGUUAAGUUGGAUGUGAAAUCCCCGGGCUCAACCUGGGAACUGCAUUCAAAACUGACAAGCUAGAGUAUGGUAGAGGGUGGUGGAAUUUCCUGUGUAGCGGUGAAAUGCGUAGAUAUAGGAAGGAACACCAGUGGCGAAGGCGACCACCUGGACUGAUACUGACACUGAGGUGCGAAAGCGUGGGGAGCAAACAGGAUUAGAUACCCAAGUAGUCCCUGAGCGGGCUGGCAAGGCGCAU